rnacentral:misc_RNA from 1 species
AACAAUUAUUAAUAAAAAAUUAAAUUUUUCACCUUUUCUUCGAGUAAUUAAUCUGAUUAAUAUAGUAAUAAUAAAUCAUAUUCAAAUUUUUUGUUGCAAUAAUCAUUGAUAGUUCCAUCAUAACGAAGGACUCUUGAUGAACAAUCAAGUGGUACAUCACAACAAGAAAAAAUGGUAAUCAUCAUUUUGGAGUACUAUAGUGAUAAGAAGAUUUUAGAGGGAUUUUAUUGAUAAAUCUAUUAUUGAUCAAAAGAUACCAUUAAUUAUGUUUGAUUAUGUUUAUUUAAUUAUCUCUCGAGAAGACUCGAUUUGAAUGUUUUGGUGGAGUUGAAGAAUCAUCAUCACAAACAAUUGUUUUAAAAAAGAAUCAUCAUAACAAAACAGUUUUAAAACGUCAUUCAGACUACAAUACUGUUAUCAAAACCAUGUUAGACAUCCAGCUGCGAUCACGUUAAUCAAUACGUUGUUACUUACUCCAUAUUUCCAUAAUAAUAAAAAAUCAAAGGAUCAAUUGAGAAUUUACUUAAAAUGAGGCCAAAAAAAAUAUGUGUUGAGAAGGAUCAACAAAUUUCUGAUGAUGUUGACAAGAAUAGAAAAAAAGUUGUCAUCAAUUCACUGGAUUACGAGUUAUUAGCAAAAAUCAUCAUGUUGUUGCCAGUACCAGAAAGGAUAGAAAUGGAAAAAGUUUGUACUAAAUGGAAAGAGGCAUGUCAACUAGC